UGCUUUUGCUGGGACCAGGUCAGGAAUGCUCUUCAGAACUUCUGUUAAAUUAGGAUGCAGCUGAUUAGCCCUUGUGUGUUUCGUCUUUCCUCCUCCCCCAAUUUGGGAACGGGCAAGCUCUGUACCACACAUGUACAGGAAGAAGGCUACGGUGGGUUGACCUGUCCUGCACCUAUUGAAUGAAGAUAGGUGGCCCACUCCCUUGACGCUCAGCAACUUGGAAAUUCUGCUGUGUUGGUGGCGUUAGAGUGGUUGGUGGAAUGAAAUCUGAGAGCUAAGCAUGGAGAAUUAGGAUGUUGAGAG